rnacentral:lncRNA from 1 species
UCACAUGAAUACUAAUCAAAGCAUGCACAAAUUCAUAGCACAUCAUGUUUGAGAAAAAGAUGUGAGUUAUAAUAGAUCCCAUUUCCAUAAUUCUAACAUGCUGUAAUUUCCAUCUGAUGAAAUGUGACUAUAAAAUUAAAAGUGCCAUUUUAUGUGAGAACGUUCUAAACCUAGGCUAAAACCGGAGGAAGAUAUCUUUUAGAGUUUUGAAAAGAGGGUAGAAA